rnacentral:rRNA from 1 species
UACGUAGGGUGCAAGCGUUGUCCGGAAUUAUUGGGCGUAAAGAGCUCGUAGGCGGUCUGUCGCGUCUGCUGUGAAAACUCAGGGCUUAACCCUGAGCUUGCAGUGGGUACGGGCAGACUAGAGUGCGGUAGGGGAGACUGGAAUUCCUGGUGUAGCGGUGAAAUGCGCAGAUAUCAGGAGGAACACCGGUGGCGAAGGCGGGUCUCUGGGCCACUACUGACGCUGAGAAGCGAAAGCAUGGGGAGCAAACAGG